ensembl:snRNA U4 U4 spliceosomal RNA
AUAUUGGCAAUAUUGUAGCCUAUGAGGUUUAUCCGAGGUGUGAUCAUUGCUGGUUGAAAACUUCACCCAAUACCCUGCCAGGAUGACUUGAAAUACAGUCAGCCUUGGCAAUUUUUGGGGAAGUUGUGGCCUAAUGGUUAGAGUCUGACU